AAUAGAUAUUUGAUUGUGAUGUGGGAAGAGAAGGAGAUUGGAACAUCCCUGCAUAACAGAACCCCCCAGCUCUGAGGAUUCCCUGGAUGACUCUAAAUGUGAAACAGCUGGGCCCCUCCAUGGUGGGAAAGACCCUUCCCAGUCCCAAAGCAAAAUGCUGAUUUGGUAAAAGACUAAAAGAGCAUGGGCUGAAUGAAUACACAGAGGGAAUAAGUAUUGAUGCAAGAGACAAAUCAGAUGGACUCAAAAUUUAUCAUUAGAGGAAAAUACUGGAGUCCAGAAAGAGAUGAUUUAAAUCAAGCUCAUCAUGCAAAAACAGAGGGCUUCAAAGGAAUCUCAAAAAUCCCUCAAUGCCAAGAGCUUUGACACAUCAUCUGAAAUACUAUUGAUUCUGAAUGAAGCUAUUCAGAGAUCGGGAAGGAAUGAAGAACCCUAUGAAUCUAUCUCAUUGUCUGGGAAGAAAUGAGUAGUAACAAUGGGAAGAUAAAAAAGAAACUGUUAUGCUAGCAGAUCAACCUGGUAUAGGAGAAACCUGUACUCUGAAGACAAAAAGCCGCAAUUGGGAGACCUGGUUCCACUACCAACCUUAGGGUAAUCAUUCCUCCUCUUUAAAUAUCUUCAUAUAGAAUGGAGUUAAUAAUUGCCUUAUAGUUUACUUUUUAACAGGUGGGAUAAUAUAUAGAAAAUGCUUA